UACGGGGGGGGCAAGCAUUGUUCGGAAUUACUGGGCGUAAAGGGCUCGUAGGCGGCCAACUAAGUCGGACGUGAAAUCCCCAGGCUCAACCUGGGAACUGCGUCCGAUACUGGAUGGCUUGAAUCCGGGAGAGGGAUGCAGAAUUCCAGGUGUAGCGGUGAAAUGCGUAGAUAUCUGGAGGAAUACCGGUGGCGAAGGCGGCAUCCUGGACCGGCAUUGACGCUGAGGAGCGAAAGCCAGGGGAGCAAACGGG
rnacentral:rRNA from 1 species